CAAGCUGCUUCCUGUAUUAGGCUUUCUGUUUUAUGAUUAUUAAUUUUUUCUUUCCAGGAGAAAUAGGGUAGAAAUAUCACCAGCCCUUAUUCUGCUGUACAUCUUCCAAGUGGAGAGGAAUGCCUAUCAAGUGAAUUAAAACUGGUUGGCCAAAUCAUAUAUAAGGAUUAGAAUAGCUUAUUAAUUUGAAAUUAGAAUAAAUGUAGUUAUAGAAAUGGCUAAGAGCACACUGAAUUUUGAGAUAAUCAAACAUUCAAGAAAGAUAGCUGGAGAAGAAUCGCAAAAUGUUAAAGAAAAACAACAAAAUGGAUGGUUAAAUGGGGCA
rnacentral:lncRNA from 1 species